GUGCUUGCUCUGGCAGCGCAUGCACUAAAAUCAGCACGACACAGAAGGUUACGUGGCUCCUGCGCAGGAUGGAUACACAAACUCGUGAAGCAUUCCAUAUUGUU
ensembl:snRNA U6 U6 spliceosomal RNA